rnacentral:rRNA from 1 species
CACGUAGGGCGCAAGCGUUGUCCGGAAUUAUUGGGCGUAAAGAGCUCGUAGGCGGUCUGUUGCGUCCGCUGUGAAAACCCGGGGCUUAACCCCUGGCUUGCAGUGGAUACGGACAGACUAGAGGUAGGUAGGGGAGAAUGGAAUUCCCGGUGUAGCGGUGAAAUGCGCAGAUAUCGGGGAGGAACACCGGUGGCGAAGGCGGAUCUCUGGGCCGAUACUGACGCUGAGGAGCGAAAGCAUGGGGAGCGAACAGG